rnacentral:miRNA from 1 species
AGACAGUAGUUCUUGCCUGGUU